ensembl:snoRNA
ACCCUUUUGUAGUUCAUGAGCGUGACGAUUGGGUGUUCACGCUAUCACGUGUUGUGUGCCUCCCUCCAGACCUUGUUAUGACACUGGCACAUUGCCCAUCAGACG